rnacentral:rRNA from 1 species
GGAGUUUGGACCGUGUCUCAGUUCCAAUGUGGGGGACCUUCCUCUCAGAACCCCUACUGAUCGUCGGCUAGGUGGGCCGUUACCCCGCCUACUAGCUAAUCAGACGCGGGUCCAUCAUACACCGAUAAAUCUUUUCACACUCUAUCAUGCGAUACCGUGCGCUUAUGCGGUAUUAGCAGUCGUUUCCAACUGUUGUCCCCCUGUGUAAGGCAGGUUACCCACGCGUUACUCACCCGUCCGCCACUAAGUCAUCCCAAUUGAUUCUACUUUGAGCAAGCUCUCCAUUUCAUCGGGCGGGACGCUUCGUUCGACUUGCAUGUGUUAAGCACGCCGCCAGCGUUCAUC